UCCCAACUGUUAUGCACCGAUGAACAAGGCAACAGCUAUUCACUAAACUCAAUCUCAAGACUAAAGCUGGUACUACAGAGUGCUCUCUUCAUAUUGAUGUCAUGAUACACUAAAAACCUCCAGUAGACCAGAUGUGCACUGACCCCACCC